rnacentral:rRNA from 1 species
GACGAAGGAUGCAAGCGUUAUCCGGAUUCAUUGGGUUUAAAGGGAGCGUAGGUGGUCUUAUAAGUCAGUGGUGAAAUCUCGCAGCUUAACUGCGAAAACUGCCAUUGAUACUGUAGGACUUGAGUAUAGUUUGCUGUGGGGCGGGAAUAUGACAUGUAGUGGUGAAAAUACUUAGAGAUGUCAUAGAACACCGAUUGCGAAAGGCAGCUCACAAAAACUAUAAACUGACACUGAGGGCUCGAAAAGUGCGGGGG